rnacentral:rRNA from 1 species
GAUGAACGCUGGCGGCGUGCUUAACACAUGCAAGUCGAACGGAACUGUUUGAAUGAAGUUUUCGGAUGGAUUUUAAACAGUUUAGUGGCGGACGGGUGAGUAACGCGUGGGUAACCUGCCUCGCACUGGGGGAUAACAGUUAGAAAUAGCUGCUAAUACCGCAUAAGACCACAGCACCGCAUGGUGCAGGGGUAAAACUCCGGUGGUAUGAGAUGGACCCGCGUCUGAUUAGCUGGUUGGUGGGGUAACGGCCCACCAAGGCAACGAUCAGUAGCCGGCCUGAGAGGGUGGACGGCCACAUUGGGACUGAGACACGGCCCAA